GAGGUUCGAAGGCGAUCAGAUACCGCCCUAGUUCUUACCAUAAACGAUGCCAGCCAGCGAUCCGGCUGUGUUCCUCAAAUGACACGCCGGGCAGCUUCCGGGAAACCAAAGCUUUUGGGUUCCGGGGGAAGUAUGGUUGCAAAGCUGAAACUUAAAGGAAUUGACGGAAGGGCACCACCAGGUGUGGAGCCUGCGGCUUAAUUUGACUCAACACGGGUAAACUCACCCGGCCCGGACACAGGAAGGAUUGACAGAUUGAGAGCUCUUUCUUGAUUCUGUGGGUGGUGGUGCAUGGCCGCUCUUAGUUGGUGGAGCGAUUUGUCUGGUUUAUUCCGUUAACGAACGAGACUCUAGCCUACUAAAUAGACGUUCCGAUCCUCCGAGUCGGACGUUCUUCUUAGAGGGACGGGCGGCGUUUAGCCGCACGAAACAGAGCAAUAGCAGGUCUGUGAUGCCCUUUGAUGUCCGGGGCCGCACGCGCGCUACAUUGAAGGAACCAGCGUGUGCUUUCCCUGUCCGACAGGACUGGGUAACCCGUUGAACCUCCUUCGUGCUGGGGAUAGCAAAUUGUAAUUAUUUUGCUUGAACGAGGAACACCCAGUAAGCACGAGUCAUCAGCUCGUGUUGACUAUGUCCCUGGCCUUUGUUCACACCGCCCGUCGCUACUACCGAUUGAAUGAUUUAGUGAGGUCUUCGGACUGGCGCUCGGAUUGGCUUUCGGGUCGAGCCGACGUGCCGGAAAGAUGACCAAACUUGAUCAUUUAGAGGAAGUA
rnacentral:rRNA from 1 species